rnacentral:tmRNA from 1 species
GGGGGUGACCUGGUUUCGACGGAGGUUGGAAGCGAAGGUGGCAUGCCGGGGAUUGUCAGUCGGCCUCGUUAAAAACGGCUGUCAAAAAACAAACGCCGACAACGACGUUCGUUACGCACUGGCCGCCUAAAUAGGCGACCGCGUCCCAGAUCGCCUCUCCCACGGGGGGUCUGGGACGUCAAUUCAGUGGGAUAGUCUUCGGAAGGGCCUGUGGUCCGGAGGCGAAAUCAAAGCAGGACCGCCUGACGAAAAUCCUGUCCGUGGGAGCGUCGUCAGGUUAAAUCAAAACGCGGACUACGCAUGUAGAAGCCUUACGUGAAAGACGUUCGGACGGGGGUUCGAUUCCCCCCACCUCCACCA